CUUCCCUUUCACUUCUAGAAAAUAUAUAUUUAAGUAUAUCAAAUAGAAUUGGAAUUGGGGGAAAAAUGAAUGCUUUCAGAAUCUUAACGUCAAAGCACACGGUGUUGGCUGUAGACUGAGCUUGAGUGAAAAUUCUUGCACUGAACAUAGACCUUCAGGUGAAUGAUUUUACCUGACCUUGGGAAAUGGAUUAGACCACGGUUGACUCAGGCCCUUCCACUCUCAUUUUGUUUGGUGAUCUGCCUCCCAAGUUUAAUGGGGCCUGUCAAAGUGGCUGGAAAAACCAAAAAGGCCCGGACACUUCUGGGUCACUUGGAAUGAAAGGCGACACCUAGGGGACAGUGGUGGGCUAAGUGGAAAGCUCAGCCCUUGACCCUGUUAUGACCAGAUGAAACCAGCUGGAACUCUCUCCACAAGGAAGGUCAGUGGGGGAACCACCCUUCCUGUUACAUAAUAUGUGGUGAUUAUCUCUUAUACAGACCAUUGAAAUGCAGUAACACACUAAUGAGAAUUUAGUUUAAAUAAAGAAAUAAUCUUUUGGUCA
rnacentral:lncRNA from 12 species